rnacentral:rRNA from 1 species
UACGUAGGGUGCGAGCGUUAAUCGGAAUUACUGGGCGUAAAGCGUGCGCAGGCGGUUCGCUGUGUCCGAUGUGAAAGCCCCGGGCUUAACCUGGGAAUGGCAUUGGAAACUGGCGGGCUUGAGUGUGGCAGAGGGGGGUGGAAUUCCGCGUGUAGCAGUGAAAUGCGUAGAGAUGCGGAGGAACACCGAUGGCGAAGGCAGCCCCCUGGGUCAAGACUGACGCUCAUGCACGAAAGCGUGGGGAGCAAACAGG